ACAUGCCUACAACAUAGCGUUAAUGCACCAUAUCCCAUUAGAACUUUUUAGUUAAGCGUGGUUAGGAUAAAGUAGUACUGGGAUGGGUGACCGCCCGGGAACUCCUAGUGUUUUACAUGCC
rnacentral:rRNA from 1 species